CUUCAGUGAUGAUCUGAUGACGAGUCAGAAAUGGUCACCCCCCUGCUCAAAGUAAACAGCACAGCGCCACGUUCUGUGGUGCUGUGUGUGGCUGCUUGGGCAAAGGUGUCCUGUUCAUUGGAUGAUCUUGAGGCAUUUGUCUGAGAAGG